rnacentral:lncRNA from 1 species
CACACCGAAAUAUUGAUGAGUAUCUUGCUCUUGCCUUUUGUGCAAAAUGCCACUCAAGGCACUGUGCCAUCCUCUCUGCUGAGCUCACAGCAUCAGCCCACGACAAGAAAGGUCCCAGAAAACAUUGACUCACUGCAUCCCAGCAUCCUGCCAGGGGACGUGUCUGCAGUGAGAUCUCCUCAGCUGGAGCGAGGUUUAAUGGAAUGGAUCACUGUGAGGCUGUUUUACCUUCCCUGAGUGUGCUGCCACCUGUGCUGCCUGCCAGGACAAGGGCUGGGGGGCACUGGGAUCGCUGCCAGUGCUGGGCAGGACACAGCUGGAGCUGGGGGUUUGCAUGUGCAGGAGGAGCUUUCUGGAGAAGCUUUCAGAUGAAAUUGCUGAGAAUUUUUGCCUGAAGCAAGGGAUGUUUCCCAUGUUUAAGACAAGCAGUAACCUGCAGUUAGAAGGAAGAAGGGACUGAAUUCACUCCAGAAGUAUUUCUCCAGGAUCUUUUUUUCAAGGGACCAAGAAAGAAGACAAAGAGGAGAAGGUGAGAUGGUCCCAGGAGGCUCUGCUUUCAGCAUAUGUCGUUUUCCGAGGCUUCUCUGUGCCGAAUGCUUCUGUGUCCCAUCUGCUACCACACCCUGAAAUCAAACUCGGCAGCUUAGGUGCACCAGGCACUGUACAAACAUGUCAGACUUGCCUCCACCCCUUUUUCUACUCCCGCUUUUUCCUGCCGUCUUUCUCUCUCAAGUUUAUCGGCGUGUCAGCGGAUUCUGGUGGCGGAGCAUUCCCACCUCACCUCUGGGCACAGAGCAAUGAGGAGUCAGGGCCCAGCAACACUGUCCUCCAAUCGGCUUUGCUGCAUGACAGUGGGAGAGUUUGCCUCCAGACCCUUCUUGCUCCUCUCCCUUGGAAUUGUCCACCACCAGCAUUGUUGCAACAGGACUGCCAGACACUAGUGCUUUAAUGCAUUUGGGGACAGAGCACUGAAAAACAGAAGAGAAAUUUGUGGUGAGUGCAAGCUCUUGGGUGAGGCUGGGGGAUGUAUGUAGAGUAAGAGACAUUUGCUGAGUCUUCCCCUGCAUUUCUGAGUUCUGUGCUUGGGUAAAACCUGAGUCAGCCCUUACACAGCUGCUGGGGAAGGGAACCUGCUGCCUGACUCUCCCUCCAGCCCUGUCCCACUGGAAAGUCUCAUUCCUGAAGUGUGAUGAAGCUGUAUAUUGAUGUUGAUAUUCCGUGCUGCCUUGGUAUGGACAUGGUGUGUGCUGUGGGAGCAAUGGCUUUUGUACCCAGUAGCAAAGCUGACC